UACGAAGGGGGCUAGCGUUGCUCGGAAUCACUGGGCUUAAAGGGCGCGUAGGCGGUCGAUCAAGUCAGGGGUGAAAUCCUGCAGCUUAACUGUAGAAGUGCCUUUGAUACUGGUCGUCUCGAGGGAGGUAGGGGUGUGUGGAACUUCCAGUGGAGCGGUGAAAUGCGUUGAUAUUGGAAGGAACGCCGGAGGCGAAAGCGACGCACUGGACCUCUUCUGACGCUGAGGCGCGAAAGCUAGGGAGCAAACGGG
rnacentral:rRNA from 1 species